rnacentral:rRNA from 1 species
UCAAUAAGCGGAGGAAAAGAAACCAACAGGGAUUGCCCUAGUAACGGCGAGUGAAGCGGCAACAGCUCAAAUUUGAAAUCUGGCUUCGGCCCGAGUUGUAAUUUGCAGAGGAUGUUUAUGGUGCGGUACCUUCCGAGUUCCCUGGAACGGGACGCCACAGAGGGUGAGAGCCCCGUCUGGUUGGAUACCAAACCUGUGUUAAACUCCUUCAACGAGUCGAGUAGUUUGGGAAUGCUGCUCUAAAUGGGAGGUAAAUCUCUUCUAAAGCUAAAUACCGGCCAGAGACCGAUAGCGCACAAGUAGAGUGAUCGAAAGAUGAAAAGCACCUUGAAAAGGGGGUUAAACAGUACGUGAAAUUGUUGAAAGGGAAGCGUUUAUGACCAGACUUGUGUCGUGUGGCUCAUCCGAGGUUCUCCCCGGUGCACUCCACACGGCUCAGGCCAACAUCGGUUCUCGUUGGGGGAUAAGAACAGUAGGAACGUGGCCCCUCUCGGGGGGUGUUAUAGCCUAUUGUACGAUACUCUGACGGGGACCGAGGACCGCGCUUCGGCUAGGAUGUUGGCGUAAUGGUCAUUAGCGACCCGUCUUGAAACACGGACCAAGGAGUCGUCCAUUAGAGCGAGCGUUUGGGUGUAAAACCCGCACGCGUAAUGAAAGUGAAAUUAGGUGAGAGCUUCGGCGCAUCAUCGACCGAUCCUGAAGUUUACGGAUGGAUUUGAGUAAGAGUUUUAACGGACGGACCCGAAAGACAGUGAACUAUGCUUGAAUAGGGUGAAGCCAGAGGAAACUCUGGUGGAGGCUCGCAGCGGUUCUGACGUGCAAAUCGAUCGUCAAAUUUGAGCAUGGGGGCGAAAGACUAAUCGAACUGUCUAGUAGCUGGUUACCGCCGAA